GUGCUUGCUUCAAAAGCACAUAUACUAAAACUGGAGCAAUACAGAGAAGAUUAGCAUGGUCCCUGUGCCAGGAUGACAUGUGAAUUUAUGAAGCAUUACAUAUAUUU